ensembl:lncRNA
CUUCCACCUCGAGGAGGUCCCCAAAGCCAACCCAAUGGCCAAACAACACGAGAACAAAUGGGCUAUGGCCGGGAAGAGGUCAGGGAGCAAGGGGGCCACGGGGAUCCGGGGCGUGGGACUCAGGCCCCGGCCUGAGUCUUAGGUAUCCGUAGCGCCCUCCUUCUUCCUCCUCUUCGCUGAUUGCAGCUCACAGUAAGUACUGGUUCACACAGUUCGUUCUCUGGGUGCUCACUCUCUUUCUCUUUCUCCACAGGCAUCAACUUGGGCACACUAGCACAGUUAGUUUGCUUUGAAUGGCUCUCACCUCUGGGCUGGACACAGCGUACUGUAAGUACAGGGUUCGCUCUAUUCCUCCUCGUGUUAUUCACUCUCUCUCCUUUUCUCUCCACAGGUAUCAACUUGGGCACAAUAGCACAGUUAGUUUGCUUUGAAUGGCUCUCACCUCUGGGCUGAACACAGCGUACUGUAAGUACAGGUUUCCUCUGUUUCUCCUUGUGUUACUCACUCUCUCUUUCCUUUCCUCUCCACAGGUAUCAACUUGGACGCAAAGCACAGUUACUCUGCUUUGGAUGGCUUUCACCUCUGGGCUGGACACAGCGUACUGUGCUAUCUCCGGAGAUCUGAAGCACGCGCACAACAUAUACUGUACUGAACUAGGCUAGGACCAGCAGUCUCCUUGUCCUCCCGCGACGAAGUGCGUGAAGGCGGGGGUUUAUCUGACAGGACACACGGCAAUACACAGCAGCCCACAGCAAUAUACAGCACCACGUCAAAAAUUAUAGGUUUUCACAGCAUGAAGACUCACCCACCACACUCAGUGUACGAAAAGGACACCCGUCUUCCUUCACUUCGCUUGGUUCGGAUCUGGCGAUGGAAUAUGCGGCCUAGCUAGUGAUGUCGUCGUUGUGACUACUUCAAUAAGUAUUCCUUCGGCUCUCCCACCACGCUAUAUUAGGGGUAGGGCCGCCCUCCUCCUCCUGGAGAGAUCUACACAACGCCAGGUCAAUAUACAGGGCACUUUCGACUGGCUCUUAGUACUCACAUCAAUGCCGCUUCCAAUCCCCUUUUUCACGUCGUCUCAGUUCGCCGUAAAAUCCGUUCACUUCUCAACCUUUAAGGUUCGCGAUGUCUUCACAAUCAUACAAUUCCAGCCUGAGGGAGAGAGAGAGUUAGACAGCCGCCAGCAGCGCACCAAGACGGGCACAACACAGUGCUUCACACACACCAGAAAGAGCGCCCAGACUGUGAAAUAACUUGGCCUUAAGUACUGCCUUGUCCAGCGUAUCCUCCAAUCACCAA